rnacentral:rRNA from 1 species
GACGAACGCUGGCGGCGUGCUUAACACAUGCAAGUCGAACGGAAAGGCCCUUCGGGGUACUCGAGUGGCGAACGGGUGAGUAACACGUGGGUGAUCUGCCCUGCACUUUGGGAUAAGCCUGGGAAACUGGGUCUAAUACCGAAUAGGACCACGCGCUUCAUGGUGUGUGGUGGAAAGCUUUUGCGGUGUGGGAUGGGCCCGCGGCCUAUCAGCUUGUUGGUGGGGUAAUGGCCUACCAAGGCGACGACGGGUAGCCGGCCUGAGAGGGUGACCGGCCACACUGGGACUGAGAUACGGCCCAGACUCCUACGGGAGGCAGCAGUGGGGAAUAUUGCACAAUGGGCGCAAGCCUGAUGCAGCGACGCCGCGUGAGGGAUGACGGCCUUCGGGUUGUAAACCUCUUUCAAUAGGGACGAAGCGCAAGUGACGGUACCUAUAGAAGAAGCACCGGCCAACUACGUGCCAGCAGCCGCGGUAAUACGUAGGGUGCGAGCGUUGUCCGGAAUUACUGGGCGUAAAGAGCUCGUAGGUGGUUUGUAGCGUUGUUCGUGAAAACUCACAGCUUAACUGUGGGCGUGCGGGCGAUACGGGCAGACUAGAGUACUGCAGGGGAGACUGGAAUUCCUGGUGUAGCGGUGGAAUGCGCAGAUAUCAGGAGGAACACCGGUGGCGAAGGCGGGUCUCUGGGCAGUAACUGACGCUGAGGAGCGAAAGCGUGGGGAGCGAACAGGAUUAGAUACCCUGGUAGUCCACGCCGUAAACGGUGGGUACUAGGUGUGGGUUCCUUCCUUGGGAUCCGUGCCGUAGCUAACGCAUUAAGUACCCCGCCUGGGGAGUACGGCCGCAAGGCUAAAACUCAAAGGAAUUGACGGGGGCCCGCACAAGCGGCGGAGCAUGUGGAUUAAUUCGAUGCAACGCGAAGAACCUUACCUGGGUUUGACAUGCACAGGACGCCGGCAGAGAUGUCGGUUCCCUUGUGGCCUGUGUGCAGGUGGUGCAUGGCUGUCGUCAGCUCGUGUCGUGAGAUGUUGGGUUAAGUCCCGCAACGAGCGCAACCCUUGUCCUAUGUUGCCAGCGGGUUAUGCCGGGGACUCGUAGGAGACUGCCGGGGUCAACUCGGAGGAAGGUGGGGAUGACGUCAAGUCAUCAUGCCCCUUAUGUCCAGGGCUUCACACAUGCUACAAUGGCCGGUACAAAGGGCUGCGAUGCCGUGAGGUGGAGCGAAUCCUUUCAAAGCCGGUCUCAGUUCGGAUCGGGGUCUGCAACUCGACCCCGUGAAGUCGGAGUCGCUAGUAAUCGCAGAUCAGCAACGCUGCGGUGAAUACGUUCCCGGGCCU